GACGAACGCUGGCGGCGUGCUUAACACAUGCAAGUCGAACGGAAAGGCCCUGCUUUUGUGGGGUGCUCGAGUGGCGAACGGGUGAGUAACACGUGAGUAACCUGCCCUUGACUUUGGUAUAACUUCAGGAAACUGGGGCUAAUACCGUAUAGGAGCUCCUGCUGCAUGGUGGGGGUUGGAAAGUUUCGGCGGGUGGGGAUGGACUCGCGGCUUAUCAGCUUGUUGGUGGGGUAGUGGCUUACCAAGGCUUUGACGGGUAGCCGGCCUGAGAGGGUGACCGGCCACAUUGGGACUGAGAUACGGACCAGACUCCUACGGGAGGCAGCAGUGGGGAAUAUUGCACAAUGGGCGGAAGCCUGAUGCAGCAACGCCGCGUGCGGGAUGACGGCCUUCGGGUUGUAAACCGCUUUCGCCUGUGACGAAGCGUGAGUGACGGUAAUGGGUAAAGAAGCACCGGCUAACUACGUG
rnacentral:rRNA from 1 species